rnacentral:sRNA from 1 species
GCGGAUAGACCGAAAACAUGCAUGGAAGCGAGACGGCGGUCGCGGUGCCGCAACUCGUCGUGUUGCGGUAGUUGACGACCCCGAGAGCU